rnacentral:piRNA from 1 species
UCACAAGUGGUCUUGGAUGAUGGGCCAGGG